AAAACGACUCUCGGCAACGGAUAUCUCGGCUCUCGCAUCGAUGAAGAACGCAGCGAAAUGCGAUACUUGGUGUGAAUUGCAGAAUCCCGCGAACCAUCGAGUCUUUGAACGCAAGUUGCGCCCGAAGCCAUUCGGCCGAGGGCACGUCUGCCUGGGUGUCACGCAACAU
rnacentral:rRNA from 3 species